rnacentral:rRNA from 1 species
UGAGUAACACGUAUCCAACCUUCCCAUAACUCAGGGAUAGCCUUUCGAAAGAAAGAUUAAUACCUGAUAGACUUUUUCAAGGCAUCUUGAGAAGUUAAAGAUUUAUGGUUAUGGAUGGGGAUGCGUUCCAUUAGAUAGUUGGUGAGGUAACGGCUCACCAAGCCUUCGAUGGAUAGGGGUUCUGAGAGGAAGGUCCCCCACAUUGGUACUGAGACACGGACCAAACUCCUACGGGAGGCAGCAGUGAGGAAUAUUGGUCAAUGGGCGAGAGCCUGAACCAGCCAAGUAGCGUGAAGGAUGAAGGUCCUAUGGAUUGUAAACUUCUUUUAUAGUAGAAUAAAGUGAUCCACGUGUGGAUUUUUGUAUGUAUACUAUGAAUAAGGAUCGGCUAACUCCGUGCCAGCCGCUGC